GUUUCGCAACCACGUGUGUGUGCAUCUAAAAGAGGAAUAUAUAAAUCGAUUUUCACCGUUUCGCGAUCAAUAUUCGGACGCACCCCGCGGGUUCUCACCCGUAGGGCCACCGAAACUACGGACCAGUCAAUAUGGAACAAAAGAGCGUUUCCGCCACCAUUCCCGGUGGUAAUCCGUGUGACCUGGCAACCGCACUUUCCUGCCGGGAUCUCCUCAAUACCUAAGGUGUCCACGAAAGUUCCACGUGGGAGUCCGUCUCUGUCAAUACCCGUAUCGGUCAACACACACGUGGAUGUGAGUUCAUCCUUACCCAAAACUAUUAAUCAGUCCAGACCUGCACGUUCACCGUGAUGUCGCUAUAUGUGACCGGACAACACUUACGACUGGUUGACGCCCCAGUCAACAAUGUACAUAUAUUUAAAAUAUAAAUUGUCCGUAAAUAUUUGUUUAUAAGCCUAUAUAUCAAUGUUAUAAAUCGUACCUAUUAUCCAUUCUUUCUUAAUGAACAGUUUUUAUG